UACGUAGGGUGCGAGCGUUAAUCGGAAUUACUGGGCGUAAAGCGUGCGCAGGCGGUUUUGUAAGUCAGAUGUGAAAUCCCCGGGCUUAACCUGGGAACUGCGUUUGAAACUACAAGGCUAGAGUGUGGCAGAGGGGGGUGGAAUUCCACGUGUAGCAGUGAAAUGCGUAGAUAUCUGGAGGAACACCGGUGGCGAAGGCGGCAUCCUGGACCGACACUGACGCUGAGGCGCGAAAGCGUGGGGAGCAAACAGGG
rnacentral:rRNA from 1 species